UAAGUUGCAUUCCACUGUCUCACCAUCUCUUACUCCUGAGGACGUCUGGGGACUCCUGGGGACCCCUGAGGACCACUGGGGCGCCCAGCCUCCUCUCGAAACCCUUCUUCCGCUUCCUCCAGGGCAGCAGGUGUUCAAUCCUACAGAGGAAGACUGCCUUGUUGCGAUCACCUACAAUAUCAGGAUGGCUGAGUUGAUGGGCUUGUGGUCUGCUGAGAGCUUCCUACGCAGAGAGAGAGAGAGAGAGAGCUUCCCACUUCCACCCUUCGCGGUUGAGGGAUGAAUGAGCAUGUCCAAACCUCAUCAAGGUUUUGUCUGAAGAACAGAGUUCCUAUUUGAUUAGAUGUCCUGCAGCUUGGCAAUUUUUUCUUCAAGUAUUUACAUGGUGGUCAACCAGAGGAUUCUACAAGAAAUGAGGACUGAAUGAAACCUGAAGAAACGUUAAACAAAUUGACUUUGAUGGAAUGUGUAAUACCGGCUCUACGUUUGAAACGCCUGUUACGCUCCCUUAUCAUUCUCUCGGCCAGUUGUUAUAAUUACUGGACGGAGAACUGAUAAGGGCUUGUGGCAGACGAUAUCUUCAAAAAAUGUGAAAACUCUGCAUCUGGACUUCCCUUCAAACGGACCGAAUCUUGAUGUUCACCGUCAAUAUAGAUUAAUUAAUUAUAGUGAUUUGAUAGAUGAAUACUGUAUGGUGUUUGUACUAAACUGUCUAGAGUCACUUAUGCUCUCCAGAAACUUGGAGACACAAUUCUUAUUAAAUGAAAAAGACUAAGAAAUUGUCAAAAAACCACAGAUUUAUUGAUACUUAGAAAUUUAUGACAAUUUCUUAGUCUUUUUCAUUCAAUAUGAAUAAUUACCACAAUAUCAACUACACAAAAAGAGACACAAUUCCUUUGGAUAAAUUGAGAACUGUGUACUAAUUAGCUCUGUUUCAGUGUCACAUAGAAUAUGGUCUGAAACUAUGGGGUCAUGCUCCCUGCUCCCUCAGUAAAAGAAAUACUUUUGUGACAAAAGCAAGCUCUAAGAGCAAUGUUAGGAAAGCGUCCCAGACAAUCUUGUCUACCUCUUUAUUUCCAUUUAAAAUUAUUGACUGUUUACAGCCUGUACAUAUUAACUGUUCUAAUCCUAUUUAAGCGAGCAAUUUCUGUAUUUAUAUAUCUGGCUAUUUUUAUAUCUGGUUAUUUAUGUUUAACGUAUCUCGAAAACGGCUCUAACGAUUUUCACGA